GCCUCUCUUGGUCUUGCAACAACUUUGGGCUCUCAUAUGCCCGAGUUGCCCCAUAUCAGAUUGGUAUUGUUUGGCCCAUGAAAAACUCUUGCUAGUUUUCUCGGUUUUCAGGCCCAUUGUAGCAAAAAGGAAAUACGUAUGGUUGUUUAGCUUUAUGUUUCUUAGCAAACUAAUGGACAAUUAGUCUUUUAUUAAAAUUACCAGUAGUUUUGGUUGUUGAAUCUCGUGCAAGUUAGGUUGUGGUUGUAUUGGCUGCAAGCGGUGCAAGUUAGGUUGUGGUUGUAUUGGCUGCAAGCGGAACGUAGGCGCUUUAGGUGUGUGUUGACCAUGCACUCUCGCGUCAUGUAAUGUCGUAUGUAUGAUAUUGGUGGUGUGGUAAACCAAUUACUUUUUUGUCUAGUUAUAUUUUUCUUUCCAAUAUUAAAAACAAAAAAAUUCUCAAAUUCGAAUCUUCCCUCACUUAAAGAUUUUAAAAAAAAAAAAAACACAUAGACAUAACUGGAAAAACCAUAGAAAUAAUUAGUGAAAUAUAAUUACAACGAACACAUUCAAAUUUUCAAAAUCUAUAAAGACAUAAGAGAUCCAAGUUCCUACCUAUAAUCACUGCAACCACAAUCUUGACCAAGGGUUUUAAUCCAAAGAAUCUUUGAGAUCUUGAAUAAAGUUAGGUGACAUCUCAACCUUUACGACAAGUGUUCUAUUCUACUUUAUCUCUCCAAUCAUAUGAAGUUCUAAUCUUACUUGAAAUGGUAUAAGAUCAGUCCUUAUCUCUUGGAUUACAGGGGUCCAAGAGAUUUGUGAUCACUUACCGUUGGAUGUAAAUUCAACGAUUC
rnacentral:lncRNA from 1 species